rnacentral:rRNA from 1 species
UACAGAGGUCCCAAGCGUUGUUCGGAUUCACUGGGCGUAAAGGGCGCGUAGGUGGCGACCCAAGUCCAUGGUGAAAGCUCGAUGCUCAACAUCGAGUCGGCCACGGAUACUGGGUUGCUCGAGCACUGUAGAGGCUAAUGGAAUUCCGGGUGUAGCGGUGAAAUGCGUAGAGAUCGGGAGGAACACCUGUGGCGAAGGCGGCCGACUGGGCCGACCCUGACGCUGAGGCGCGAAGGCGUGGGGAGCGAACGGG